GGGGUGUAACUCAGAUGGCCAGAGUCCGCGCCUUAUAAGCGCGAAGCCCUCACAAGGUAUACGGAGGGUUCGAUUCCCCCCACCCCCA
rnacentral:tRNA from 1 species